UACAUGUUUUAGAAUAAAAAUGUGCUUAGUACAUACCAAAUAAUUAUGUGUUAUUUUCAAUUUCUUUGUAGUCUUAUAUAUAUUACUAUAGGUGAGUAGGUGCUAAAUUAUACUCAGAAAUGUAAUAAUCACAAUGUUCAAAUACAUUGUCUAAUCAAUAGAAUAAUAUUGGCAUGCAAUGAUUCAUCUC